rnacentral:rRNA from 1 species
UACGUAGGGCGCAAGCGUUUGUCCGGAAUUAUUGGGCGUAAAGAGCUCGUAGGCGGCUUGUCACGUCGGGUGUGAAAGCCCGGGGCUUAACCCCGGGUCUGCAUUCGAUACGGGCUAGCUAGAGUGUGGUAGGGGAGAUCGGAAUUCCUGGUGUAGCGGUGAAAUGCGCAGAUAUCAGGAGGAACACCGGUGGCGAAGGCGGAUCUCUGGGCCAUUACUGACGCUGAGGAGCGAAAGCGUGGGUAGCAAACAGG